rnacentral:rRNA from 1 species
AGCAGUCGCCGCGGUAAUACAGAGGGUGCGAGCGUUAAUCGGAUUUACUGGGCGUAAGCGUGCGUAGGCGGCUUCUUAAGUCGGAUGUGAAAUCCCUGAGCUUAACUUAGGAAUUGCAUUCGAUACUGGGAAGCUAGAGUAUGGGAGAGGAUGGUAGAAUUCCAGGUGUAGCGGUGAAAUGCGUAGAGAUCUGGAGGAAUACCGAUGGCGAAGGCAGCCAUCUGGCCUAAUACUGACGCUGAGGUACGAAAGCAUGGGGAGCAAACAGGAUUAGAUACCCCCGUAGUCCCUGUCUCUUAUACA